rnacentral:misc_RNA from 1 species
ACCACAUUAUGCUAUCUUUAUGUACAAAUCCUUGCUCAACAUAGGUAUCUAGUGAUUGUCUAGCAAUCAGCCUACAUGGUUUGUUGAGCUUUAGUGAAGGGCAGAUUUUUGUACUCACCUAAUGGAACGCUUCCGCCGACUUUGGAAAAAAGGCGCAAAGAAUGAUUUUCCAAACAGGUUCAUCUUUAUUGGGAAUACUAUUCCGGAUGGAGUUCAACCUCCGAUUCAUUAUGAUCAGAAAAAGUAUCCGGAUAAUGAAGUUAUUUCCUCCAAGUACACCGUCGUGAACUUUCUACCGAAGAACUUAUUUGAACAAUUUCGCCGGAUAGCAAAUACAUAUUUUCUUCUCAUUGGCAUCAUCAUGAUCGUGAUCAACAGUCCCGUCAGCCCGUGGACAACUUGGCUGCCGCUGCUUUUCGUUGUGAUCAUAACGGGAGCAAAACAAGGCUAUGAAGACUUCCUACGACACGUCAGAGACCGUGAAGUCAACUUGCAGAACAUUGACGUUAUUCGUAAUGGAACAAUUCGAAAAAUUAAAGCGAAAGAAAUCCGUGUUGGUGAUAUUGUGAAAAUCAAACAAGAUGAAAGUUUCCCGUGCGACCUAGUGUUGCUGUCGUCUUCCAACAACGAGGGAAAAUGUUAUUUGACUACGGCUAAUUUAGACGGUGAAACUAACUACAAGGUUAAGAUCAGCACAAGAACAACCAGAGAUUUUGAUGAGCCAGAAAAAUUGAAUCAUUUAAGAGGGAACAUUGAGUGUCAACAGCCAACGGUGAACUUGUACCAAUUUAUAGGAACCCUGACCGUUUACCAAUGCGAUUCUUCGAACGCGAUUAGUUCCGUAAAAGCCUCUUUGGGACUUGACAACCUUUUACUUCGAGGAGCCAAGCUCAAGGACACGGAAUUUAUCUACGGGUGUGCCGUGUAUACUGGCCAACAAACUAAACUCGGCCUUAACUCACUUAUAACGAGCAAUAAGUUUUCGACCGUCGAAAGGAGCAUGAAUCGCUAUCUUUUAGUUUUCAUGGGUCUUCUCGCGCUGGAAAUAGCCCUUUGUACUAUGCAGAAAUAUUUGUUCCUCUCAAAUUUAGACGGUGCGUUUUAUCUAGGAGAGAACGAAACUGUGUCAGUGGUUCGCGUGUUGGCCGAUAUAUCAGCUUUUCUUGUCAUUUUCAGCUAUAUCGUACCUAUUUCUCUAUAUACUACUUUAGAAGUACAAAAAUUCACGAGCAGUCAAUUUUUCGGAUGGGACCUUAAUCUGUACUGUGAGUCGACUGAUGAACCUGCGAUUUGUAACACGUCUGACUUGAACGAAGAACUGGGACAAGUUCAGUAUCUUUUUACCGAUAAAACUGGAACGCUAACAGAAAAUUGCAUGGAAUUCCGUCAGUGUUCAAUUGCGGGUAAAAAAUACACCGAAAGAAAUGGUAUGCUUAUGGUUGAAUUGGAGGACGGCUUUCGACACGUUGAACAGUUUUCGUCAUCAGAGGAGCAAUUCCUGAUCACACUAGCCCUGUGUCAUACUGCUACCGUAAUCGGUCUUCGUAAAAGCAACAAAGAACAAGAAAACAAGUUUGGAAAUGACAAUCCAACCUUUAUUGCUGACAGGAGAGAUUUCGAGUACCAAGCAUCCAGCCCAGACGAGAAAGCACUCAUUGAAGCCUGUCAAAAGUUUGGAAUAACCUAUUGCGGAGAGAUUGGUGGCGUUUGCACCAUCUGUAUCAAAGGUGAAAGGCGGAGUUACCGCCGCUUGCACGUUUUAGAAUUUGACGCUAACCGGAAGCGAAUGUCGGUGAUAGUUCAAUUUCCAGACGAUUCGAUUUGGUUACUUUGUAAGGGUGCCGAAAGUACAGUAUUGCCUCAUUGUCUGGCUGGAUCAACAACCGCAACUGAACAACACAUUAAAGACUAUGCAAUACUCGGUCUGCGAACAUUGACGAUAGCAUCGCGUCGUCUAAGUUCAGAAGAAUACCAAGAAAUCGACAAUUUACUGGAAGGCGCUAGCCAAUCGAUGACAAACAGAGAGGAGGAAUUGGCAAGAUCUUUCAAUGUUAUUGAGGCUCAUCUGACGUUGCUAGGAGCAACUGGAGUAGAGGAUCAACUUCAAGAGGAAGUGCAAGAAACGCUUGAAUCUCUUAAGGUUGCAGGAAUUAAGAUAUGGGUGCUUACUGGUGAUAAGUUGGAAACCGCUGUUAACAUAGCACAUUCUUGUGGCCAUUUCAAACGCGGUAUGCACAUUUUCGAAUUGAGCAUAUCGGAUAGCGUAGAAGAAAUUUUACUUCAAACUAGGAAAACUAUACGAAAUGAACAAGAUCUCCAUUACGGAAUGGUGGUUGAUGGCCAUUGCCUUGCCAUAGCAUUGAUUCAUCAUCGAGCUCUUUUAGCCGACGUGACAAAACACUGUGAAGCUGUUGUCUGUUGUCGGAUGUCACCUAUCCAAAAGGCCGAGGUGGUGAAGCUGGUCAAAGAAUUCCCAGAAAAACCUACCACAGCAGCCAUCGGAGACGGGGCGAAUGAUGUGUCCAUGAUUCAAGAAGCUCAUAUUGGAUUAGGUAUAAUGGGCAAAGAAGGUAGACAGGCUGUUCGUUGCGCGGACUUUGCCUUUGCACGUUUCCAUUAUUUGCGCCGGGUUUUAUUCAUUCAUGGUCAGUGGUAUUACUGGCGUAUCUCUUCAUUGGCUAUGUAUUUUUUCUACAAGAACGUCGUAUUUAACACACCGGUCGUCUUCUUUUGUAUAUUCUGUGCCUACUCUACACAGCCAGUUUAUGAUAGUUUUCUGUUAACUAUGUACAACAUUACUUUCACGGGUUUGCCCGUGUUUCUGUUCACUGUUUUGGACCAGAACUUCACAGAACAACAGCUUUUAAGCAAUCUUCACUUGUACGGUUCAACAGCAGGGGACGCUCGCAUGAGCUGGUCUCAAUUUCUUAAGUGGAACAUCUUAGCUCUCUGGCACGCAAUCGUGAUUUACUUCGGGACGCAUUUGUUGUAUUACUACGAAUGUGAUGUUGUCUAUGAUGGUCAACCACUGGACUUUGUGACAUUUGGCACAAUCAUGUGUCAAGUUGUCGCCUGGGUGACAAAUUUAAAGCUCCUGCUGGAGUCGCGUCACUGGACUCUUUUAUUCGCAGCCUCCGUAGCCAUCUCUAUUCUUCUAGGCUUUUCAGCCGUUGUACUCCUCUAUUGCGCUUAUGACUAUAAAUUCGUCGAGAGUAACGCCAUGUUGUGGAUUUACAUGGUAUCUUCAUCUUCCCCCGCUGCUUGGUUAUUGCAUUUCUUGUUGGUUGUUCUUUGUCUAUUACCGGAUCUUCUUGUGGUAAUGGCUGAAACACAGAUUAUCCGCGACGGCAUUGUUUCUAGUCAAUCCUCAAUCCAACGGGCUAAUGGAAAACUAGAACGGAUCGUGUCCUUCAUGAGUCAGCGAUCAAAGAAGUCGGUCGAUAUAGGCUUGUCUCACCGGCGGAACUCAAAGAUGACCUAAAGACAAAACUAUGAAAAUCCAAGACACAGUCUAGAUCCAUAAAUUAUUUCUCUGCUUUGAAGCCGACAUUCAAUCAUUCGACACCAAAGUUCGUAAGGAUCACGGAAAUUAUAUUCGUCGAUACUUAAUCUUCUAUGCGAUCAAGCGUUCUGUAGUUCUUGGCCUUUUUCGUUGGCUUCCAAGAAAAUUGCAUAUAUAAAUUUAAUAAAGUGAAAAAAAAAAAACUAUUUCCUACCAAAUAGCUAAUAAUAAUAAUAAUAGCUAUUAGUUUUCCGUCUUUUUCUCCUAUCUAUAGUGCUACUGGUUAGUCUUAGACAGUUUUGCAUGUUUUCUUGGUUAUUGUGCUCAAAAGUAGAUGAAAGCCCUUAAGAAAGUUGUGUACAUUAUUAGUAUUGAAAAAAUAAUGGAAAUUUCCGGUGGUUUACUCACCAGUUUUCAUUCUUUGUCCCUUUGUCCAUUAGCCUUUUCUUACUUUACAGUAUAAUUUUGAAACUGGCUCUAGAUACACAAUAGACUAGCAGACGAAUUUAUGACAGUAGAUUUAUCGAGAGAUUCGAAACGUUUUAUGCGGGGGGAGGUAGUAAAUGUUCAGUGCGUUCCGUACUUCCGUUUUAAACAUUCUUUUGGAUUUUUAUUACUUUAGAUCAGUUGUUUUUACAAGUGGUGAUUGAUUCCACAAUUUCAGCUUCCCAGGCAGAUACCCAUUCACAAAGCCAUGGGUGAUAGAUGAUAUAAAAUUAUAAUUGAUAAAAAAAAAUACUUGCUGAGAUUGAAUGCAAUAAUUUUGUUAUCGUAAACUGACCAUUGUGUUGAAAAAGCAAAAAUGGAUAUUCAAAAUGAAGUUAACAGGCAUCAUGAUUUAAUACUAAAUGAAUGACAGAUCCUUUCAUUCACUAAGUCUUGGUGGUCAACCAAGAUGGUGUCAGGAACACAGUACACAGUGACUUUUGUGUCUUU